rnacentral:rRNA from 1 species
CGCAGCCGCGGUAAUUCCAGCUCCAAUAGCGUAUAUUAAAGUUGUUGCAGUUAAAAAGCUCGUAGUUGAAUUUCGGGAUCAAUAUGUUGGUCGUGCCUCGGUACGUACUUGCAUAAUUGAUUUCUCCCUUCUGAUGAACCAUGAUGCCAUUAAUUUGGUGUUGUGGGGAAUCAGGACUGUUACUUUGAAAAAAUUAGAGUGUUUAAAACAGGCUAACGCUUGAAUACAUUAGCAUGGAAUAAUGAAAUAGGACGUUCGAUCUUAUUUUGUUGGUUUCUAAGAUUGACGUAAUGAUUAAUAGGGAUAGUUGGGGGCAUUAGUAUUCAAUUGUCAGAGGUGAAAUUCUUGGAUUUAUUGAAGACUAACUACUGCGAAAGCAUUUGCCAAGGAUGUUUUCAUUAAUCAAGAACGAAAGUUAGGGGAUCGAAGACGAUCAGAUACCGUCGUAGUCUUAACCAUAAACUAUGCCGACUAGGGAUCGGAUGAUGUUAAUUUUUAAUGACUCAUUCGGCGCCUUACG